rnacentral:lncRNA from 1 species
AGAUUGAGGCCUCAUUGCCAAGCCUCACAGCAUGGACGCCAUGAGCUACAUGAAAGUACAUUCCGCCGGGUUGCGGCCCGGCGGAAAUGUACUCCACCAGGCCAUUGAUUUCCCACUUGGGCAGUGCAUAUUUGCCUACCAGAACUGUUUUCUUGAGGCUAGUUGGUUUUGGUGGCUCUUCAAAGUUGCCAUUGGCCAAGAGUCCUGAUUAAGAUGUGCAGAUAAAUAAUAGAUCAGAAAAGAGAGAGAGAGAGAGAGAGAGAGAGAGA